rnacentral:rRNA from 1 species
GACGAACGCUGGCGGCGUGCUUAACACAUGCAAGUCGAACGGUAAGACCCUUCGGGGUACACGAGUGGCGAACGGGUGAGUAACACGUGGGUGAUCUGCCCUGCACUUCGGGAUAAGCCUGGGAAACUGGGUCUAAUACCGGAUAGGACCACUGCCUGCAUGGGUGGUGGUGGAAAGCUUUUGCGGUGUGGGAUGGGCCCGCGGCCUAUCAGCUUGUUGGUGGGGUGAUGGCCUACCAAGGCGACGACGGGUAGCCGGCCUGAGAGGGUGACCGGCCACACUGGGACUGAGAUACGGCCCAGACUCCUACGGGAGGCAGCAGUGGGGAAUAUUGCACAAUGGGCGCAAGCCUGAUGCAGCGACGCCGCGUGAGGGAUGACGGCCUUCGGGUUGUAAACCUCUUUCAGCACCGACGAGGCGCAAGUGACGGUAGGUGCAGAAGAAGGACCGGCCAACUACGUGCCAGCCGCCGCGGUAA